rnacentral:rRNA from 1 species
UACAGAGGGUGCGAGCGUUGUCCGGAAUCACUGGGCGUAAAGGGCGCGUAGGCGGCUCGGUAAGGUUGCGGUGAAAGCCCGGGGCUCAACCCCGGGUCGGCCGUGGCAACUGUCGAGCUGGAGCACUGUAGAGGCAGGUGGAAUUCCGGGUGUAGCGGUGGAAUGCGUAGAGAUCCGGAAGAACACCGGUGGCGAAGGCGGCCUGCUGGGCAGUAGCUGACGCUGAUGCGCGACAGCGUGGGGAGCAAACAGG